rnacentral:rRNA from 1 species
GCGGGAAAGUAGCUUGCUACUUUUSCCGGCGAGCGGCGGACGGGUGAGUAAUGCCUGGGAAAUUGCCCCAGUCGAGGGGGAUAACAGKUGGAAACGACUGCUAAUACCGUCAUACGCCCUACGGGGGAAAGCAGGGGACCUUCGGGCCUUGCGCGAUUGGAUAUGCCCAGGUGGGAUUAGCUAGUUGGUGAGGUAAUGGCUCACCRAGGCGACASAUCCCUARCUGGUCUGAGAGGAUGAUCAGCCWCWCUGGAACUGAGACACGGUCCAGACUCCUACGGGAGGCAGCAGUGGGGAAUAUUGCACAAUGGGGGAAACCCUGAUGCAGCCAUGCCGCGUGUGUGAAGAAGGCCUUCGGGUUGUAAAGCACUUUCAGCGAGGAGGAAAGGUCAGUAGCUAAUAUCCUGCUGACUGUGACGUACUCGCAGAAGAGUUAUAGU